AGUGGUGUGCAAAUGCGCGUCUCCGAAUGCACAACAUCUUGAACCUAGAAGUGGAUGGACUACAGGAGCAGAAGGCCACUUUACAAGUUUUAUGCAGAGAGUAGUGAGUGCGUGGAACAGGCUGCCGGCGACGGUGGUGGAGGCGGAUACGAUAGGGUACAUGGAGCUCAGAAAAAUAAAGGGCUAUGGGUAACCCUAGAUAAUUUCUAAGCUCAAGGUGGUAAAACCUGAGGUACGAACAUAGCCAAACACACUCAUUUCUCAAUUGCAAGGACCUUUUGGACUAUUCUCAUGGUGUUUAGCAUUACAGCUUUCUGGAGCUUUACAUGAAAAUUGCUCCUCAACACUGAACCUUUCUCCAUGACUGUGGCCUGUAGCACUGAACUGGCUUCACGGCUGUGGACUUACUUUUGGGGACCUACGUUUCACGUUUUGUGGAAUAUUUGUUUGCUUUUUAAAUUAUUUCCACAAUUAGUUCUUUCGUUUUCACGCAUUGGAUGUCUGACUGUCUUUGUAAUGAGGGGUUUCCCAUGAACUGUAUUGUGUUUCUUUGUUUUCAAGCUGCCUGCAAGAAGGUAAAUCUCAAGCUGGUAUACAGUAUACAUACUUCGUACUUUGAACUUUUUGUGUGAGUGCAAGACUUAUUUUCCCAAACUAUUGGAUAGUCAGAGAAUGUCACAAUCC